AGAGGGUUGUGUUGAAUUAUCUUCACAUCACCCUGGGCUAAUAGCUCGGAGGCUGUUUUUGCAGUUGUCUAGGAGCUGAACCCUGAGAAUCUAACAUAGCUGGAACAAAGGCUUGAACUUCAGAAAGCUUAGGCAAAGUGCAAGAAGAAAGGUUGGUCUGCAUGAGUCCAGAACUGGACAUGAGUUUUCCCGCUCGGUCAGUAAUAAUUUGAGACUCAUAAUUCUCAUUACAUACAGCAUGGGCUCUACAAGAAACCCUCUGUGGUCAGAUGUUGGUUUCGGAGUGAUGAAGGAAAGGUAAGGCAAUUCCUGCAGACUGGAAGGCUGCAGGGUGAGAGACAUCUCUGGAGACCUGUCUCUGCUGGAUCUAGCUGCCUAUCAGAUAAAUUCAUUUUGGGAGAUGAUGGUAUCAAACACGUUGCCUCCAGUUGUGAUUCAAAACUAAAAACUGGUUCAAUUCUUUAAAAAGAGAGGAGGGACAGGAUAUAAAUACA